ensembl:snRNA
GCUGUCCUUAUCUUGGGGUUGUGCUACUGUUCAAUGAAGAUAUAGUGAAAACAGUACUGCUAAUGCUACACAACACUUACGCAUCCCUGGGGCUUAGGCCCCAACAUGAUGCAAUAGUUUUAAUU